ACGAUAAUCAAUAAUUUUAUUAAAUCAUUGGCUUAAAUUUCUGCGCCGAACGCUCUGCGCAAUACAUGUGUGCGUGUAUAGUAGGCGCCGGCUUCGCUACGUAGUAGACGUAGACCGUUGCAACUCGUGGUUAUCACGUGUACAGUAACUCGCAUUGACUUGUUUUGCUGUGUAAAGGAAAAGAGAAUAUUACUAAACAUUUUGGCAAGGAGGAUUCUACGUAUAAUAUCUUGAGUAAUACAUCCUUAACAGAAAAGGAAAAUCAGCCUCGUUAAGUUUAUAAUAUUUAUAAUGCUCUUUCUAAGUUUUUUUUAUGUUCAAUGAUU